CCUACCUUUAACAGGGGCAUAACACUGAGAAAUUGGUACUAAUUCCCCAUAACAUUCGAGAAGGCAUCUUCUUGGGUUAAAAACUCCGGUGGUUAAAGAUGGGCAUGCGUUGUAUUAGCUAGUUGGUGAGGUAACGGCUCACCAAGGCAACGAUACAUAGGGGGACUGAGAGGUUAACCCCCCACAUUGGUACUGAGACACGGACCAAACUCCUACGGGAGGCAGCAGUGAGGAAUAUUGGUCAAUGGACGCAAGUCUGAACCAGCCAUGCCGCGUGCAGGAAGACGGCUCUAUGAGUUGUAAACUGCUUUUGUACUAGGGUAAACGCUCCUACGUGUAGGAGUCUGAAAGUAUAGUACGAAUAAGGAUCGGCUAACUCCGUGCCAGCAGCCGCGGUAAUACGGAGGAUCCAAGCGUUAUCCGGAUUUAUUGGGUUUAAAGGGUGCGUAGGCGGUUUGAUAAGUUAGAGGUGAAAUGCCGGGGCUCAACUCCGGAACUGCCUCUAAUACUGUUGAACUAGAGAGUAGUUGCGGUAGGCGGAAUGUAUGGUGUAGCGGUGAAAUGCUUAGAGAUCAUACAGAACACCGAUUGCGAAGGCAGCUUACCAAACUAUAUCUGACGUUGAGGCACGAAAGCGUGGGGAGCAAACAGGAUUAGAUACCCUGGUAGUCCACGCAGUAAACGAUGAUAACUCGUUGUCGGCAAUACACAGUCGGUGACUAAG
rnacentral:rRNA from 1 species